UACGGAGGAUGCAAGCGUUAUCCGGAAUCACUGGGCGUAAAGCGUCUGUAGGUGGUUUAAUAAGUCAACUGUUAAAUCUUGAGGCUCAACCUCAAAAUCGCAGUCGAAACUAUUAGGCUAGAGUAUAGUAGGGGUAAAGGGAAUUUCCAGUGGAGCGGUGAAAUGCGUAGAGAUUGGAAAGAACACCGAUGGCGAAGGCAAUUUACUGGGCUAUUACUAACACUCAGAGACGAAAGCUAGGGUAGCAAAUGGG
rnacentral:rRNA from 1 species